UACAGAGGGUGCAAACGUUGCUCGGAAUUACUGGGCGUAAAGAGUGCGUAGGCGGUUCUUGAAGUCCGCUGUGAAAGCCCCGGGCUUAACCUGGGAAUGGCAGUGGAAACUGGAGGACUUGAAUUGAGCAGAGGGGGGUGGAAUGCCGCGUGUAGCAGUGAAAUGCGUAGAGAUGCGGCGGAACACCGAUGGCGAAGGCAGCCCCCUGGGCUUAAAUUGACGCUGAGGCACGAAAGCGUGGGGAGCAAACAGG
rnacentral:rRNA from 1 species